UACUGUGCAUUACCAGCCCUCCAGAUAAUAAACUAGAAAACAAUACUGUAUUAAUUUACCCCUUAGAACAUUGUUAUUGAGCCUUGAUAUUGAAAUUCUAAGUAAGAUUUGUGAUUUAAUAGACCUAGCCUUGUCCCCAGGCAUCUCAUGACAGCCCUCUGUUGUAAAAUAUUUUCUAAAAUAAGCUAUCCCCAACGCCUGGCAAAACACAUGUAUGUUAUUUACCAGCUGAGAGGUCUGUAUCGUGAAAUACUGUGACCGAGGUCAGUAUUUUCAAGGCCGAGGUCACAGUAUUUCAUGAUACCGACCGACCCUUAGAUGGGAAAUAACAUAUUUAUUUUUUUCCUCAAUAGAAUUUCCAACUUUGUUUACCUUAUGGGCUUACGGUUGCACGAGGGGAGGUUUCGCUUCUGACUUUCGUCGAUGUUCGUGAAGAUUUUGUUCGCUCAAUCAUUCAAUAAACCCCCAUUUUGUAUUUCCACACAACUCUUUAAAUCCUCCAGAAAUACAAAACCUCCAAAGAAGACAUUCUCUGAUUGAUCGUAGAAAUGUCUUCUUUCACUUUAAAUCCUCCACAGAUGAUAAGAUAUAUGGGAAUAUAUAGCUGGGAAAUAACAUAUUUAUUUUUUUCCUUAAUAGAAUUUUCAACUUUGUUUACCUUAUGGGCUUACGGUUGCACGAGGCGAGGUUUUGAUUCUGACUUUCGUCAAUGUUCGUGAAGAUUUUGUUUGCUCAAUAUCAUUCAAUAAACUCCAUUUUGUAUUUCCACACAACUCUUUUUAUCCUCCAGAAAUACAGAAAAUACAAAGAAGACAUUCUCUGAGUUUUGACCAACAAUUUUGUAAAAUAAUUUAGUCCAAAUUGAUAUGUCGUUCUCAACUCAAAUUGAUUGUAGAAAUGUCUUCUUUCGCUUUAAAUCCUCCACAGAUGA